AUAGUCUUUCUAGGUUGCCUACUCUUGCUGCGAUUUCGGGAUCAUCUAGUCCAGUGACUCAAGACACUUGGUACCAGAAUAUAUUUCAAGGAUGUCAGGAUUCACCAACUAGUUACCCUAAUUAUAGAGUUGAGAAUGGUUCCUUAUAUCGUUUUAUGAAAAGUAAAAAUACCCUUACAUCUGAGUUUGAAUGGAAGCUCGUUGUUCCACAGGAGCAACGCCUCGGUGUUUUAAGGGAUAAUCAUUCGGAACCCAUUUCGGGUCAUUUCGGAAUUUUCAAAACCUACAAAAGAUUAUUACUUCGCUACUACUGGCCAAAGAUGUAUCCCGAUGUUGUCAGUUACGUGUCUUCCUGUGAAACUUGCCUAGCUUAUAAGCUUUCAACUCAGGGUACUUUAGGUAUGAUGGGGAGACCUAAAGAGUGUGGUAGACCUUUUCAAACCCUAUCUAUAGAUUUAGUUGGUCCCCUACCGGCUUCAAGAAAACAGCACUGUUAUAUAUUUGUAGUGACAUGCUGUUUUUCCAAAUAUUGCCUCAUGUUCCCGCUACGCAGAGCUACUGCUGAUCUUGUUAGUAAACAUCUGGAAGAUUACGUCUUCUUGGUUCACGGCAUCCCUCAAACCAUUAUCCUGGAUAAUGGCGUGCAAUUCACGAGCCGUGAAAUGGAAUCUUUAUUUAAAAAAUAUGCUGUACCUAAUGUUCACUUCACGCCUAAAUAUACUCCCCAAAUGAACACCGUUGAAAGGUAUAACAAAACCAUUAUAACGGCAGUUUCCACUUUUGUUCAUGAUGACCAUCGCUCAUGGGACAUUAAUCUACCAAAAAUCCAAUUCGCAAUCAAUAAUUCAGUUAAUGAAACGACUGGUUAUACUCCAUCAUUCCUCGUCCAUGGUCGUGAAUUAGUUACGAGUGGGUCUCAUUAUAUAGAAAAUGAUAUCCCAAACGAACUAAUUUUUCUUCCACGCGACCCAUAUGCAGAAAACUUGGGACAUUUGGCAAAUAUUUUCGAUAAAGUACAGGUUGCACUUUGGCAAGCACAUUUAAAAAACACUCAGCGUUAUAACUUGCGUCGAAAGCAUGCUGAAUUCAAUGUUGAUGAUAUCGUUUGGAAGCGAUGUUACUUUCAGAGCGACAAGGAUGCACGUUUUGCUAAGAAGCUGGCACCUAAGUACGUUAAAUGUAGAAUAAAGCAAAAGAAAUCACCAUUAGUAUAUGUUCUCGAGGAUGUUAUGACCGGUCAUAAUUUAGGAGCUUGGCACAUAAAAGAUCUUAAAAUGCAAAACAAGUAAAUCUUUGCAUAAUCCUUGCUAAUUCAUAACAUAGGUGUAGGUUCAGAUUUUACGACAGGUAAAAUCUUUUUCUUGGAAGAGGGGUACUGUAACAUUUGAAAAUGUUAUUUUUUUAUUUUACGAUUCAAUGGAUCAUAAGUUUUUGAACGUAAAUACGCUCGGGGCGAAGGGCGCGGGGAGUGCGCGCCGCAGGCGCAGCGUCUCGGCCAGAGACAGACUGCCACACUCGCCAGCCUCGCUUGAAACUUGAACUUGAGCACCCGCGUACCGCUUGAUGCGGCGCGCGUCUUAAUAAAUCGAUCUCGUUGGCGUUUUUUCAUAGUGCGAGUUUAAUAAAACUUUAAUAAAACCUCACAGUUAAUCAAACUUAAGUGUCUAGCCUACAUUUCAUCCCGUAACUGGGAAUUACGGCCGGGCUCAGUUUGAGCUAGGACUUAUUGUGGACCGUUCCGGAGGGGACAGAGAAGUGGACAUCACGGCGUCCCACGGGGACCGCAGGAGGCCGCACAGGGGAGUCUGGCACAAGUGUUACGUGGAACCGAUCUUUUUACAACCUACCCACCUGUACCUUAAAAUCAAAUAUUUUUAAACUUAGAUUAAUAAAUUUUGUAAACUUA